CGAGGGCAUCGCGUACUCGGGCAGCGGGUCUUCGGCGGGGCUGGCGGCCGCGGAGGGCAGGUGGCCGGGCCGGUCGGCGCCGCCCGCCGCCGCGUAGAGGCUCAUGGCCUGCAUGUUGCAGUGAGCCUUUUGGAGAGGUGCUGUGUGACAGGGAGGCUGUCGGAGGCAGAAGUGUUUGCAUGGAUUGGAGCCUGCAACUACCGUAACCAUCCCUGUGGCAAGAACACCCACAGAAACAGGUCUCAACUCUGGCCAGAUCCUCUGGCCAGAUCCUGGUUUUUGGAUGGAGUGACUUGAAGUGACACAUUUUGGCAGCAGUCACAUAACUUUUUAUACUAUUGCCUCUCUCCUUGUUACUUAGGCCUUGAGCUUGACGGUCUAAAGCACAGCUUCUGGAAAAAAAAAAUGCAGACAGCAAAACUUCCAAACACUGGCCCUUUAGAAAGCUCUGAGCUGAACCUGCCAAGUGCGCUGAGCGAAGGAGAGAAGGUUAUGAGUCUUACAUCUAGAUAUGUUUUGCUUAAUAUUCACCAUGGGCACACCUACAACUGGAACAACAACAGUUCUGGAUAGGAGAGAGCACUGCAAAAGAAGGUUGCAGUGAUAGGGAUGGCCAGCCUGGGCCAUGGGAGUAGUUUCAUGUCUCUCCCAUGCAUCUGUUUCCCUCCAGAGGUUGGGCAUGUCUUGCAUCUACACAAUAAGGGAAGGAAUGUGAGCCCUCCACCACACCUCUGGCUUUCAACAUUUGCUGAGCCUGUUUGUCUAUUUUGGUUUUGGUUUAUUUUUUGUUUUGUUUUCACCUAUGACUUUUGAGAUUGUUAUCUCAGCAGGGUAGGGACUGCUUUGUGUUCUACAUUUGUAGACUGACUGUGCCUGGGAUCUUGAGCUGAUGUGCUAAUAAUGAAUAAGCAUAAUUUUCUUGGGGGAUACUCUUCAAGGAUCCAUCUGGAACUGAUUGGACUGGUGAUAAAAUAGACCAUUUCCUUUGGAAGAAAAGAACUCAUGAUAACCACUGGAUUGAAAUGAUUGCUUUCUGCAGAGCCAGAUCCUCAAGCCAUUAAACCAAAUUGCAUCAGUUGUGGCUCUGGCUUGGAGAAAUUAAAGGUGAGCACCUGUACCAGCUCAGCACCACCACGCUGCAUGCAGUCGCAGAAAUUCAGCCACCGAAGAGUGAGCAAGACUAGAGCCUGGAUGAUGCUGCUGGAUUUCGUGUGUGUGCAUUAUGUGCCAGGAAAGACCAUGAGGUGGUGUUAGGGAAAACUGCUGGAUUAGGCAGUUCCAGCAUUGAGAUUGGUUUCUUACUCUGAAAGCUGUCCCUCACAAAGUGCACUGUGCAACAGUGGCAUAGGGUUUUUUUGUACAGACUUAAAUAUACUCCUUAACUCUUCAAAAUAAUGUUAUCUCUUCCAGUGCAUUUCCCAUUGAAGUGAAUGGAAAUGUUCCCAUUGACUUUAAAGCACAAUUUCCUCCACCUACUCCUUCUUAAAAGACUUAAUCAAGCAUGUUUAGUGGAAACCUAUGAGAGUUGUCUAAUGACUGGCUUGCUUUGCCCAGGGAAAAACGUAACUAUAAACUGAAACAUGAUGCUGAAAACUAAGUUUAGUAGAAAGUGUUUAGUCUAGUGCUGGAUGAAUGAUGGAAGCUUGUAUUUGUGAAUAAUUUAUUUGACAAUUGGUGUGGGGAAAAAAAUGACCGAAUAAGUUCUUUGCUCGUUUUUUCUUGCCUGUCUACCAAACUGGCUGCACAAUGAGCAAACAAAUGGCUAAUAUUUAUUCAGGAGCAAAGAGGUCAGCUUUUGUCAAAAAUGUUUUUAGUAGUGGCUUGGACAAGCACCAGAUUAGCUUAAUUUUCUUAUGUCCUCUGCAUAGUAAACAAAGGAAGCUGUGCUAUUAGUUACUGAAUUCACUGUGAAUUUUGCAUCUCGCCAGUAACGCUCACACUUCACAGCAAAUCCUCUGUUCUAAAGACUCUGCCAAUGCUGGAGCUUGGCUUUCAUGCCUGCAGAAAACCUCCUGAAGCUUUAGAAACCUCUAAAGUGAGUUUCUCUUUAUAGCCUGUGCAGGAGGUGCUGCCCACCUUCAGCCCCUACCGAAAAGGGCUUCUUCUGAGUCAGGUGUGGUGUUGCGGACAGCAGCUGGCUACAGGGCUGACAGAGCAGGAGCUGCACUGCUGAAGAGAAGGUGUGCUUUGUGAUCAGGAAGGCUGCCAUCUUCACAUAGGCUGAUGUAAAUAGUUGCUGAUUGCCAGACAGAAGGUGCUUAUUAAUUAUUUUUCCUCUUAGUGAGAGAGGAAAUACAGACAGACGUCGGAGUCUCUGAAGAGCUCUCUUUAUUAGCUUGACCUGACAGCACCACCGAGGUGUUUUGCUUGGGGACAAAAUCCACGUUUUGCCUUGCAAUUUAGUAAGCUUGUCUGCAUUGCCUCCCACGCUUCCUCCUACAACAUUUCCCUUCCCCUGUGACACACCCAGGCUUCUUUUUUGCUAGUCCUUCAUCCUCUGCUACCUUCCUGCCUUCUCCCAAGCUGCCCUAUGAGCUUAAAAGUGUUAUAAAGUGAAUAUAUAUUUUAA